CGCCGAAGGACGAUGUCUGACGGAUCACGCCGCGUGAACGAUGAAGGCUUUCGGGUCUUAAAGUUCUGUUGUUAGGGAAGAACUUGUGCUAGUUGAAUAAGCUGGCACCUUGACGGUACCUAACCAGAAAGCCACGGCUAACUACGUGCCAGCAGCCGCGGUAAUACGUAGGUGGCAAGCGUUAUCCGGAAUUAUUGGGCGUAAAGCGCGCGCAGGUGGUUUCUUAAUUCUGAUGUGAAAGCCCACGGCUCAACCGUGGAGGGUCAUUGGAAACUGGGAGACUUGAGUGCAGAAGAGGAAAGUGGAAUUCCAUGUGUAGCGGUGAAAUGCGUAGAGAUAUGGAGGAACACCAGUGGCGAAGGCGACUUUCUGGUCUGCAACUGACACUGAGGCGCGAAAGCGUGGGGAGCAAACAGGAUUAGAUACCCUGGUAGUCCACGCCGUAAACGAUGAGUGCUAAGUGUUAGAGGGUUUCCGCCCUUUAGUGCUGAAGUUAACGCAUUAAGCACUCCGCCUGGGGAG
rnacentral:rRNA from 2 species